GACGAACGCUGGCGGCGUGCUUAACACAUGCAAGUCGAACGGAAAGGCCCUGCUUUUGUGGGGUGCUCGAGUGGCGAACGGGUGAGUAACACGUGAGUAACCUGCCCUUGACUUUGGGAUAACUUCAGGAAACUGGGGCUAAUACCGGAUAGGAGCUCCUGCUGCAUGGUGGGGGUUGGAAAGUGUCGGCGGUGGGGGAUGGACUCGCGGCUUAUCAGCUUGUUGGUGGGGUAGUGGCUUACCAAGGCUUUGACGGGUAGCCGGCCUGAGAGGGUGACCGGCCACAUUGGGACUGAGAUACGGCCCAGACUCCUACGGGCGGCAGCAGUGGGGAAUAUUGCACAAUGGGCGGACGCCUGAUGCAGCAACGCCGCGUGCGGGAUGACGGCCUUCGGGUUGUAAACCGCUUUCGCCUGUGACGAAGCGUGAGUGACGGUAAUGGGUAAAGAAGCACCGGCUAACUACGUG
rnacentral:rRNA from 1 species